AGAGUUUGAUCCUGGCUCAGAACGAACGCUGGCGGCGCGCCUAAUACAUGCAAGUCGAGCGAGAAGGUGUAGCAAUACACUUGUAAAGCGGCGAACGGGUGAGGACCACAUGGGUAACCUACCCUCGAGUGGGGAAUAACUAGCCGAAAGGUUAGCUAAUACCGCGUACGCCUCCCGGACUGCGGUUCGGGAGGGAAAGCGAUACCGUGGGUAUCGCGCUCUUGGAUGGGCUCAUGCCCUAUCAGCUUGUUGGUGAGGUAACGGCUCACCAAGGCAUCGACGGGUAGCUGAUCUGAGAGGAUGAUCAGCCACACUGGCACUGCGACACGGGCCAGACUCCUACGGGAAGCAGCAGUAAGGAAUAUUGCGCAAUGGGCGAAAGCCUGACGCAGCGACGCCGCGUGGGGGAUGAAGGUCUUCGGAUUGUAAACCCCUUUCGGGAGGGAAGAUGGGAUAGGGUAACCUAUUCGGACGGUACCUCCAGAAGCAGCCACGGCUAACUUCGUGCCAGCAGCCGCGGUAAUACGAAGGUGGCAAGCGUUGUUCGGAUUUACUGGGCGUACAGGGAGCGUAGGCGGUUCGGUAAGCCCUCCGUGAAAUCCCCAGGCUUAACCUGGAAAGUGCAGAGGGGACUGCUGGGCUAGAGGAUGGGAGAGGAGCGCGGAAUUCCCGGUGUAGCGGUGAAAUGCGUAGAGAUCGGGAGGAAGGCC
rnacentral:rRNA from 1 species